rnacentral:rRNA from 1 species
AUGAUCUGUUUCAACUGCGGUGGUCCAGGGCAUUAUGUUGGGAAUUGCAUUAAACCAAAAUCAUGCUUCAUAUGUCAGCAAAAUCACAAUGUGAACAACCGUGCUGCCUGGACUAAGGUACAACCAACUGCUGCCUUUUUUGGUAGUGGAGCAAGUGGUCUUGGUUUUUACCAUGUGGAUGUUCCUGUUGCUAAUGAAUCCAACUGGUUGAACUUCCAAAACUGUGUUGUAGUUAAUAUUCUCAAAGGUGAUGUGGAUAAGGAGUUGCUGUUAAGUCUUUUGACUGCUACCUUUUGCAAAACCAGACAAUGGCCUUGGCAGAUUAGGGGGCUGUCCAAUAAGACAUUUCUGGUGAGAUUUCCACCAUGGAAGAAAGUGGAGGAUCUCAUUGAAUUGCCUGGAUUUUCUCUGCCUCAAGAUGUUUUUGUCACACUUACUGAAUGAAAGGGGGCUUGUGACCCAUUUGGAGAACUUAUUGAGGCAUGGGUUUUGAUCGAGGGAAUCCCACCUAAAUGGUGUACCUGGAAGGUUUUCGCCCAAAUUGCUUCCCUGUUUGGGCUUCUGACUGAUGUAGACUAGAAUGGGAUGUUUAGGACCUUCUUUGAGAAUGUUAGGAUUAAAAUUGCUUAUAGAGACCCCAUAAAAAUUCCUUUUGAAAGGCUCAUUGAGAUGAAGAAGAAGUUAUUUCUGCUAGGUUUUACUGUGGAGGGCUUUGAACAAGUAGGUGGGGUUGAUUCUGUUAUUGACAUUGAAGAUGAUGAGGAGUUUGAAGGUGAUGGUGCUGCUGAGAGACAGGAGGAUGAGGGUGGAGAUGGUCAUAAGGAGGGUCUGGAGGACUUACAUGAUAGUGAGGAGGCAAUUGAUGAGUUAGAUAAAGCUAAUAUGACUAGUAUGGGUAAGAAUACACAGAAAGGGGUGCAGACUGGUAUGUUCUGCUCCGAUUCUGAGCAUGAAACCUUUAUCCUGGAGUGUGUUAACACUGGUGAAAAGAAAUAA